rnacentral:lncRNA from 1 species
GCUCUAUUUGUGACUUAUCUAAAUUUAGCAGAUGUGUUACAAAGGCAAUUGGGAGAGAUGAAUCCGUCAGAACCUGAAGCCAUCUCUAAUUUGGAUCCAUGUUUGUCUCUCUCUCUCUGCAAAGGUGACAUGGAGAAUUCCCACCACCUUUCCCAUGGAAAAGCAGGCUCGGGAUGGGCUGUUAGUUUCUAUUCCCCAUAGGAGGUCCUCCAAGGUCCCGAAAAUCCAGUUUCCAUAAAGGCAGGAAGCAGAGGACAUGCCUGAACCCAAGAGGGAAGUCUUUUCCAGGCUCCUCGGGGGAUUGAGGAGUGCCAUGGCUCUCUGGCAGCUGUUGCAGUCUCCUGAGGCCAGGCCAGCCUGCCCUUCUGUGUCCUAAGGACUCAUCUCACCAUGCCUGGAAGGUCAUUUCCUUAUCCGACUUUAGGCAGAGCCAAAGAACUGAGCGCCAGCAGACUGCAGGGAAGCUGACUCCUGAGUUUUCAACACCCAGUAGUGACACAUGGCUUAGUUUCUACCAAAGAGCUCAUAAAAGGCAUCUGGUAACACUGUGAUGUGGCUAAAGAAGAAAGGGCAUUCCUGGAGUUGGACUGGGGAUUUUCUAGUCAGUGUUUCAGCAGCAGCAAAACAUAAUGGGAAUAGCCGUAGCAAGUGACUAUACGCUGGAUCCCAGUCCUGACUUUCCCCUGGACAAGGUGGGGGAGCCCAAGAGAGCCCCUCAAUGUCUCUGGAUCUCAGUGUCUUUGUCUGUGCAAUAAGAAGGUUAAACAAGCUAAGCUCCUCCAACAACGCUCAUGUGAAGUCCUAAUAAUUAUCUUCAGCCAACACUUGCUAUGUCGCAGUCGCUGGGCCAAAUACUUGACAUGAAUUAUCUCAUUUAUUGUCCACAGCCUCGCAAGCAGAAGAAUGCAAGCCAUGCCACAAAGCCAGCCAGCUAGAUUUCGCAGCGUCACUCACAGCUGUAUGUGGCAUAUGACCACAUUUGAGCAAAUGGGAUGCGAACAGUGUGAUGUAAGCAACAUUGGAGUCAUCUCUAAUGUAAAAGACAGAUGUUUGCCUCCAUGCGUGCACUGAAAAGCAGACAUACACAUGAGCCACCUUCAACCAUGCAGACAAGGACCAUGCCCAAGGUGACGUCUGAGCAACAGCUGGAAGGAAAAAGAUGGAAUGAUUACACAGGGCAAAGCCAGCCUGCCAGUCGGUGCCUCUCACCAAGGGACCAAAACAUGACAUAAAGGCUCAUCUUAUCAAGCCAUUGGAUUUGGGAGUCUCUUUGUUAUGGAAGCUUGGUCUUUCCCUAACCGACACAUAUGCUCCUUUCUUUGGGUAAAUUUUACUGUGUUCCUCUUCUCUGAAACCAAAAGAACCUUGAAUACCACACAGAUGGUAGUCCAAGAGGCUGCUUUGUGCUGAGAUACACGUCUUCACCUACAAAUAUUUAGUGAGUGCCUACUUUGUGCAAAUUACAUGAAAACAGAGACAUCAAGCUUAAAGAGGGCAACGGGUGUUACCAAAACCAUGUUGGAGCUAAUUCUGCAAAAUCAGACAGGCAAUCUGUCAUCAGAAUCCACACACCCUCUGCACCCCUGAGUGCUAUGGUCACUCUGUCAUGUAUCACAGACCCUGGCUUCUAGGAAGACUUCUUUCCAUUUCUUUAAAAUAAGGAAAAAUAUUUUGCCUGUGAAUAAGCCCAGUGCAAAGGCCCUGCACCCUAUCAUCUCUCCGUGCCUUGAGGAUACUUCUUACUCCUUCUGUAUGUGCUGGUGGCACCAUUAUACCCCUGCUCAUUCUCAUUGGCCAGUGCCUGUAUUGCACCUGUUGUUAAAUAUGUGUAAGAUCAUGUCUACCCCUAUCUCUUCCCUAC